CUCCCACGAUUUAGACCCAUUCUUGGUUUUGUGGGACACCCUCUUAGGUGGCCCAGCAGUCCAUUUGUACAUAAUCCUGGCUCUAAAGCCCUCCAGUGCUUCCCCAUUGGCCACAGGAUAAAGUUUAAACCCUUUGAUGUGUCCGGGCUCUGUCCUGACUCCCUUGACUGUUAACCUUCUCCCAGCCAGGUCAGCAGACUACCCAGGGGAUAAGGUUGGCCUGCAGCCUGACUUUGUACUGUCCCCAAGGAAAGAAUGGUCACCAUGGGCACCUUAAUCUUCUCCAGCCUCAACUUCUUCCACUGUGAAAUGAGUACAGUCACAGAGCCUCUCUCGUGGGGUGUUUGAGGAUUAACAAGGCCAUUUGCUGCCCUGGAGCCCUCAUUCUGGACACUCAUCACCUGGCAUCUCCCUGCCUGGCACACAGUCCCCGAAUGAACAUACCCAAACCUGCCUGCUUUUCUCAGUUUU
ensembl:lncRNA